rnacentral:rRNA from 1 species
CACGUAGUUAGCCGGCGCUUCUUCUGCAGGUACCGUCACUUUCGCUUCUUCCCUGCUGAAAGCGGUUUACAACCCGAAGGCCGUCAUCCCGCACGCGGCGUCGCUGCAUCAGGCUUGCGCCCAUUGUGCAAUAUUCCCCACUGCUGCCUCCCGUAGGAGUCUGGGCCGUGUCUCAGUCCCAGUGUGGCCGGUCGCCCUCUCAGGCCGGCUACCCGUCGUCGCCUUGGUGGGCCAUUACCCCACCAACAAGCUGAUAGGCCGCGAGUCCAUCCUCCACCGAUAAAUCUUUCCAGACGCUACAGAUGCCCGUGCGUCUCGUAUCCGGUAUUAGACCCCGUUUCAAGGCUUAUCCCAGAGUGAAGGCAGGUUACUCACGUGUUACUCACCCGUUCGCCACUGACUCCCCCAGCAAGCUGAGUUCACCGUUCGACUUGCAUGUGUUAAGCACGCCGCCAGCGUUCGUCCCUGACGCCAGGACGUACAAACUCU